rnacentral:rRNA from 1 species
GAUGAACGCUGGCGGCGUGCCUAAUACAUGCAAGUCGAGCGAAUGGAUUGAGAGCUUGCUCUUAUGAAGUUAGCGGCGGACGGGUGAGUAACACGUGGGUAACCUGCCCAUAAGACUGGGAUAACUCCGGGAAACCGGGGCUAAUACCGGAUAACAUUUUGAACCGCAUGGUUCGAAAUUGAAAGGCGGCUUCGGCUGUCACUUAUGGAUGGACCCGCGUCGCAUUAGCUAGUUGGUGAGGUAACGGCUCACCAAGGCAACGAUGCGUAGCCGACCUGGGAGGCUGAUCGGCCUCACUGGGACUGAGACACGGCACGGACUCCUACGGGAGGCAGCAGUAGGGAAUCUUCCGCAAUGGACGAAAGUCUGACGGAGCAACGCCGCGUGAGUGAUGAAGGCUUUCGGGUCGUAAAACUCUGUUGUUAGGGAAGAACAAGUGCUAGUUGAAUAAGCUGGCACCUUGACGGUACCUAACCAGAAAGCCACGGCUAACUACGUGCCAGCCGCCGCCGUAA